rnacentral:rRNA from 2 species
UACAUAGGGUGCAAGCGUUGUCCGGAAUUAUUGGGCGUAAAGAGCUCGUAGGUGGUUCGUCGCGUCGGAUGUGAAAAUCUAGGGCUUAACCCUAGACCUGCAUUCGAUACGGGCGAGCUAGAGUGUGGUAGGGGAGACUGGAAUUCCUGGUGUAGCGGUGGAAUGCGCAGAUAUCAGGAGGAACACCAAUGGCGAAGGCAGGUCUCUGGGCCAUUACUGACACUGAGGAGCGAAAGCGUGGGGAGCGAACAGG